GUUGGCUCUCAUACUCGUUGGAACCGGUUGGGGUGAGGAUAGUGGAGGGGGCGGAACUAAAAGCGCCGGCAGCAAUUGGAGGAGAGCGACGGUUUAAAAAACCGCGGGGACGCCCGCCAUUGGCUGCUGAGGACUAUUGAAACAGUGACUCUUAAACCCUUCACUGUAAAAAAAACAGUGGGUAUGCACUUUCAGCUUGGCUGAAUGGGAGCUUAUAAGGAGAAAGAUUAUUGAACUCUAUGGACCUCAGUACGGAGCUCAAGGGCAGAACACUAAAAGGAGCAGCACAUUCAACUGGAUUAUACAGAAGGACCAGGAAGUACAAGUUUUGGACCAAUUUAACCAUUUUAGUUUAUGGCAUGAUUUUCUGUCUUACUGUAUUACUUGAAUCUUAUACAUCCAACAUAGGAUGCAGUUGAAUUGGCAGAAUUUUUAAACCAUUUUAAAGAUUUUAUUUUUAAAAUAUUUGCUGACAUGAUAAUUUGAGGUGCAGAACAAAAGCUCAGUAAAGUACACCUAGACUUCCAGUGAAUGGUACAUAAAGGGGAAGGGAAGAGUCAUCUCUAAUUGAACCUUAUUGCGUUAAGAACACAUUUCCUUUCCAUGAUUACCCAUAAUACAUUUAUAGUGUGCUAGCAAUUUAUCCAAA